UACGUAGGGUGCAAGCGUUAAUCGGAAUUACUGGGCGUAAAGCGUGCGCAGGCGGUUGUGCAAGACAGGUGUGAAAUCCCCGGGCUUAACCUGGGAACUGCAUUGGUGACUGCAUCGCUCGAGUAUGGCAGAGGGGGGUAGAAUUCCACGUGUAGCAGUGAAAUGCGUAGAGAUGUGGAGGAAUACCGAUGGCGAAGGCAGCCCCCUGGGUCAAUACUGACGCUCAUGCACGAAAGCGUGGGGAGCAAACAGG
rnacentral:rRNA from 1 species